AUGGCGGGCUUCACUUAUUUUUAGAUGGAUUCGUUAGCUUUUUUUUUUUUGGGUUUUAAAUAUUUUUACAGUAAGAGCAUUUUAGUCAAUUUACAUUCAUUUAACAGUAAAAACUAACCCUCAUCCACGUUAGGGACUAUCCGAGAAACGAGCAUACAAACGUUAGGGAUCAAGGCUGUAAAUUUAAAAAGAUAGGGACUAUAGGUGAAAUUUUACCAAACCACAUGAACUAUCCGGGCGUUUUUCUCUAAAUAUUUUAAACAAACGACCGUGGAACAUCAAACUUGGUUUCUGCUUGGCGAUCAAGCGUUCCUACGAAUCCGAUAGCCAACGGCUAUGAUGAUUGAAAUCAAUGUUUAUAUUAAACCCCUUAAUCGUUCUCUAACUUGUGCAUUCUCAACAGGAACCUUAGCGUGUGGUCAAUCAGUAGUUGAAUAUUCUUUAAAUCCUCCAAGUUUUAAUAUCAAUUUCUGAUCAUUUAAGUAGCUUGCCCCUUGAUGUAAGUUGCAAGCUGUUAUCCUCAUUUUCCAUACAAUUAGCAGCGCAAACAAGUCUGUUGGCAUAUGACCGAAGACAGCUGGAAAAACCUGCGUGUCAUACGUUUAGAUGUUGUCACCCCUCUUGAUGCUUCACUUUUGUACGACCAUGUGGUAAAAGCCUUUGAUGGGAUUACCCGUGACGGGUUACAGAUACAUCAACUGGAUGUCGUGCGUGGAUUGAUUUUAGAACUCGCAAAGAUAUAAUGAUUUGGAUUUGUAUGUAUUAAAAUUAGAGCUACCUCAAAGUUUUUAUACUUCUCGUACCCUAAAAAAUGAAAUUGAGAAUGGAAAAAUGGAUCUCUAAACCUUUGGACCCAAAUUUGGAGAUAAGUCUUCCAAAUUUGGCACUGUUGGAUACAUGUGCACACAAGGACGUUUACCAUCGUAUUUUCCAGAUUAUUGGCGGAUGCUCAUCAUUAAAUAUGUUUCAUUUUGUUGUUUCGGUUAUAUCCCUGAGAUGAUUACACCUCUCCCUUUGCUUCCGAACAUCGAGUAUUUAGAAUUUCAUGGCUCUAUCACUCAUGGUUCUAUUGUUAUUUUUCAAACGCUGCAAACGUGUUCAAUGCUUAAACAUCUUACGAUUGGACAGUUGGACCAAUCUGUGUGGGUUGUUCCUAAAUCACCCCCGUCAUGCGUGGUUAAGAGUUUAGAGUCAUUGAAGAUUAAUCAUGUUGGUACGCAGAGUGUUGAUUUUGUGCUAUACACAUUACAGAAUGCUAGAAGGAUGAAAACACUGGAAAUCGUCUGUUGAGAGGCUUUGUCAACACAAGAGAGGAUGAUGUUGCAUAAGGAAAUUGAAGACUUGGUAAUAGCUUCCAAAGAAUGCUAGGUACAUCUCAAUGAGGACACUGAUAGAUACAACUGGGAUGAUUUGCUCUCAAUGGUUGGGUUGUUUUUUUUUUUUUUUUUUUGGAAGAUUACAUAGACAAGAUACUACUCUUGCUUAUAACUUGCAUUGAAUAUUUUUGUUUAAGGUUAUCUUUUGAAUUAUAGACUCUUCUAAUGUUUUGUAUGGAGUAUUCAAUCUCAAUCUAGUGCAUUAGCUUAGGAUACUAUUUCAUAUCCAUAACAUUUGGUUCUGUUAUGUUCUGUUC